rnacentral:rRNA from 1 species
AGAAUCAACGCUGGCGGCGUGCCUAACACAUGCAAGUCGCACGAGAAAGGGUAGCAAUACCUGAGUACAGUGGCGCACGGGUGAGUAACACGUGAAUAAUCUACCUCCGAGUGGGGAAUAACUGAGAGAAAUCUUAGCUAAUACCGCAUAAUACCCACGGGUCAAAGCAGCAAUGCGCUUGGAGAGGGAGUUCGCGGCAGAUUAGUUAGUUGGCGGGGUAAUGGCCCACCAAGACGAUGAUCUGUA